rnacentral:rRNA from 1 species
UACUUAGGGUGCAAUCGUUAAUCGGAAUUACUGGGCGUAAAGCGUGCGCAGGCGGCUAUGCAAGACAGAUGUGAAAUCCCCGGGCUCAACCUGGGAACUGCAUUUGUGACUGCAUGGCUAGAGUACGGUAGAGGGGGAUGGAAUUCCGCGUGUAGCAGUGAAAUGCGUAGAUAUGCGGAGGAACACCGAUGGCGAAGGCAAUCCCCUGGACCUGUACUGACGCUCAUGCACGAAAGCGUGGGGAGCAAACAGG